GGAGAUGUACUCAAGUUGGCUGAAGAGGCGCCCCUGCUAAGGGUGUAGGUCGGGAAACUGGCGCGAGGGUUCGAAUCCCUCCAUCUCCG
rnacentral:tRNA from 1 species